rnacentral:rRNA from 1 species
UACGUAGGUGGCAAGCGUUGUCCGGAAUUAUUGGGCGUAAAGCGCGCGCAGGCGGCCUCCUAAGUCCGAUGUGAAAGCCCACGGCUCAACCGUGGAGGGUCAUUGGAAACUGGGGGACUUGAGUGCAGGAGAGAAGAGUGGAAUUCCACGUGUAGCGGUGAAAUGCGCAGAUAUCAGGAGGAACACCAGUGGCGAAGGCGGCACUCUGGGCCGGUACUGACGCUGAGGAGCGAAAGCGUGGGGAGCGAACAGG